rnacentral:rRNA from 1 species
GACGAACGCUGGCGGCGUGCUUAACACAUGCAAGUCGAACGAAGUGGCGAACGGGUGAGUAAUACGUGAGUAACCUGCCCUCCUUUUUGGGAUAAGCCUUGGAAACGGGGUCUAAUACCGAAUAAAGGGGGAUGGGCUCGCGGCCUAUCAGGUUGUUGGUGGGGUGAUGGCCUACCAAGGCGGUGGCGGGUAGCCGGCCUGAGAGGGUGACCGGGCACAAUGGGAAUGGGGUACGGCCCAAACGCCUACGGGAGGGAGCAGUGGGGGAUAUUGGACAAUGGGCGGAAGCCGGAAGGAGCGACGCCGCGUGGGGGAUGUAGGCUUUCGGGGUGUAAACCUCUUUCGGUAAGGAACGGGUAGGUGGAGAAGAAGCGCCGGCUAACUACGUGCCAGCAGCCGCGGUAAUAC